UUCUACCCUCUUGCUGAUGAGGAUCUCCAGUGGCUUCUGGAUUGCAGGCUGACCAAUGAGGGGCCACUCAUCUCUACCCACCUGUCUGUGGGCCUUUCCCAGUUCGAGGCCUAUAGUGAAGGGAACUCUUGCUGGCCUCCCGCUUGGAUGAGGUGGGAAAGAGCAAGGCCUUGGCAGUCUCCCACCAGCACGACAGGAAUGACAUGGGACAGCUGGUGAGGCCAAGACUCCAUAUGGCUGGGAUGGCAGAUGCCAGGUAACUCCAGGAGUUACCUGGAGGUGAGCACAUUGGAACAGGACCCUGUGGGAUGAUCUUCAAGUUGGAUUUGUCUUGAAGGUCUACCGAGAGGAUGGAGGCCAGGGGUGGAGGGCUCUGGGUCAGAGGAGCCAGGGAAGCUGAUGGGGACAUGGUGGGAACAGCCUCUUCUGCAGGCUCCCUGCAUGGCUGCUGGGCUCCAGCAGGCACUGCCUGGCACACCUCACCAAGGGGAUCUGGACAUGAAUGAGGAUGAAAGUUGCCCUUGUCAGGGAAUCUCUGCAGGUGGCUGCAGGAGACAAGAGACACAAGCUCUAGCCAGGAGCUGACAGGGCCAGGCAGGGGUAGGCACCUGGGGCCAUGGCCCCUCACAGCCCCCAUUCUGACUUCACACUGCAUCUGCUGUCCCUCCGCUUGGGGCUGGAGCUGAACCCUGCUGCAAUGGCUCCCCCUCCCAGGCCAGCCCCAGCCUUCCUGCAGCCCUGGGGUCCCACUCUGUGCCCUGGAAGGAAGGAGAACCCAGGAGAGAUUCUUUACCUUUGCAGAUAUACAAUCAGGCCCCAAACCUGUACCAGCUGUCGCAGGCCAUCUCUGCAGGCUGGAAAUCAGGACACUGGGUCACACCCUUUCCCAGGCUCCUCACAGGUUGAUUCCACAAAAGUAUCGGUUCCUGCUUUCCUUUCCUGA
rnacentral:lncRNA from 1 species